rnacentral:rRNA from 1 species
UUGGAGGGCAAGUCUGGUGCCAGCAGCCGCGGUAAUUCCAGCUCCAAUAGCGUAUAUUAACGUUGUUGUGGUUAAAAAGCUCGUAGUAGAAGCUCGGGCUCCGGCCGACCGGUCCGCCUCACCGCGUGCACUGGUUCGGCCGGGCCUUCACCUUCUGCGGAACCGCAUCUCCUUCACUGGGAGUGUCGGGGAAACAGGACGUUUACUGUGAAAAAAUUAGAGUGCUCCAGGCAGGCCUAUGCUCGAAUAGAUUAGCAUGGAAUAAUGGAAUAGGACGUGUGGUCUUAUUUCGUUGGUUUCUAGGACCGCCGUAAUGAUUAAUAGGGACAGUCGGGGGCAUCAGUAUUCAAUCGUCAGAGGUGAAAUUCUUGGAUCGAUUGAAGACUAACUACUGCGAAAGCAUUUGCCAAGGAUGUUUUCAUUUAUCAGGAACGAAAGUUAGGGGAUCGAAGACGAUCAGAUACCGUCGUAGUCUUAACCAUAAACUAUGCCGACUAGGGAUCGGACGGUGUUAUUUCUUGACCCGUUCGGCGCCUUACGGGAAAC